rnacentral:rRNA from 1 species
GUUGAUCCUGCCAGUAUUAUAUGCUGAUGUUAAAGAUUAAGCCAUGCAUGUGUAAGUAUAAAGACCAAGUAGGAUGAAACUGCGGACGGCUCAUUAUAACAGUAAUAGUUUCUUUGGUUAGUAAAAUACAAGGAUAGCUUUGUGAAUGAUAAAGAUAAUACUUGAGACGAUCCAGUUUGUAUUAGUACAAAAUGGCCAAUUCAUUCAAUGAAUUGAGAAAUGACAUUCUAAGUGAGUUAGGAUGCCACGACAAUUGUAGAACACACAGUGUUUAACAAGUAACCAAUGAGAAUUUCUGAUCUAUCAAUCAGUUGGUAGUAUCGAGGACUACCAAGAUUAUAACGGAUAACGAGGAAUUGGGGUUCGACAUCGGAGAGGGAGCUUUACAGAUGGCUACCACUUCUAAGGAAGGCAGCAGGCGCGUAAAUUACCCACUUUCGAAUUGAAGAGGUAGUGACGACACAUAACUCUAGAGUUGAGUAAAAUCAAUUCUUGAAGGAAUGAGUAGGAGGUAAAUUCUCCUACGAAAUCAAUUGGAGGGCAAGUCUGGUGCCAGCAGCCGCGGUAAUUCCAGCUCCAAUAGUG